rnacentral:rRNA from 1 species
AGUGGGGGAUAACACGGGGAAACUCGUGCUAAUACCGCAUACGUCCUACGGGAGAAAGCGGGGGAUCUUUGGACCUCGCGCUAAUAGAUGAGCCUAUGCCGGAUUAGCUAGUUGGUAGGGUAAAGGCCUACCAAGGCGACGAUCCGUAGCUGGUCUGAGAGGAUGAUCAGCCACACUGGGACUGAGACACGGCCCAGACUCCUACGGGAGGCAGCAGUGGGGAAUAUUGGACAAUGGGCGCAAGCCUGAUCCAGCCAUGCCGCGUGUGUGAAGAAGGCCUUCGGGUUGUAAAGCACUUUAAGUGGGGAGGAAGGUUAGUGGUUUAAUACGCUACUAAAUUGACGUUACCCACAGAAUAAGCACCGGCUAACUCUGUGCCAGCAGCCGCGGUAAUACAGAGGGUGCAAGCGUUAAUCGGAAUUACUGGGCGUAAAGCGCGCGUAGGUGGUUUUGUAAGUUGAAUGUGAAAUCCCCGGGCUUAACCUGGGAAUGGCAUCCAAAACUGCACGACUAGAGUAUGGGAGAGGGAGGUAGAAUUCCAGGUGUAGCGGUGAAAUGCGUAGAGAUCUGGAGGAAUACCGGUGGCGAAGGCGGCCUCCUGGCCUAAUACUGACACUGAGGUGCGAAAGCGUGGGUAGCAAACAGGAUUAGAUACCCUGGUAGUCCACGCCGUAAACGAUGAGAACUAGCCGUUGGUCUCCUUGAGAGGUUAGUGGCGCAGCUAACGCGAUAAGUUCUCCGCCUGGGGAGUACGGCCGCAAGGUUAAAACUCAAAUGAAUUGACGGGGGCCCGCACAAGCGGUGGAGCAUGUGGUUUAAUUCGACGCAACGCGAAGAACCUUACCUGUCUUGACAUCCACGGAAUCCUGCAGAGAUGUGGGAGUGCCUUCGGGAACCGUGAGACAGGUGCUGCAUGGCUGUCGUCAGCUCGUGUUGUGAAAUGUUGGGUUAAGUCCCGUAACGAGCGCAACCCUUGUCCUUAGUUGCCAGCGAGUAAUGUCGGGAACACUAAGGAGACUGCCGGUGACAAACCGGAGGAAGGUGGGGACGACGUCAAGUCAUCAUGGCCCUUACGACCAGGGCUACACACGUGCUACAAUGGCCGGUACAGAGGGUUGCCAAGCCGCGAGGUGGAGCCAAUCCCGAAAAGCCGGUCGUAGUCCGGAUUGCAGUCUGCAACUCGACUGCAUGAAGUCGGAAUCGCUAGUAAUCGCAGAUCAGAAUGCUGCGGUGAAUACGUUCCCGGGCCUUGUACACACCGCCCGUCACACCAUGGGAGUGGGUUGCACCAGAAGUAGUUAGCUUAACCGCAAGGGGAGCGAUUACCACGGUGUGAUUCAUGACUGGGGUGAAGUCGUAACAAGGUA